UUGUGCUCUAACUCGUCAAUGGCAAAUCCUACAUUAUGAAAACCAAAAACUAUGUUAAAUAUUAUUAACACAAGAAACAAAAAAUAAUUUUUAUGAGAUUAAAAUUACCAUAACACAAAGAUUCUUAGGAAGAACUGAGAUUUUAGUAACAAUUUUAAGAUAGAAAUAUGAAAGAAAAAAUUGCUGUAAACAAAAAGAAAAUUGAAGAACAAUUGAAUAAAAUCAAAUUACUGUACCUUCUUAAAGUAUACACAAUUGAAGAAUUUUGAAGUAUUGAAUAUGAAACAUGAUUUGAGAUUACCAUUACUAAAUAUGGAUUGGAAAAAUAUUAAACAUAGGCAAUGUAAUUGGAGUUGCAGAUUUGCAGUGUUCAGCGAAAUUAGAGUUGCAAACUUGCAGUGUUGAGCAGAUUAGGAUUUGUAAAAUAGUGGCCUAUUUAAAACCGUCUUCAAUUUAGUGGGAGCAUUU
rnacentral:lncRNA from 1 species